rnacentral:rRNA from 1 species
UGAGGAAUAUUGGUCAAUGGACGGAAGUCUGAACCAGCCAAGUAGCGUGCAGGAUGACGGCCCUAUGGGUUGUAAACUGCUUUUAUGCGGGGAUAAAGUGUGGGACGUGUCCCAUAUUGCAGGUACCGCGUGAAUAAGGACCGGCUAAUUCCGUGCCAGCAGCCGCGGUAAUACGGAAGGUCCUGGUGUUAUCCGGAUUUAUUGGGUUUAAAGGGAGCGUAGGCCGGAGAUUAAGCGUGUUGUGAAAUGUAGUGGCUCAACCUCUGCACUGCAGCGCGAACUGGUCUUCUUGAGUACGCACAACGUGGGCGGAAUUCGCCGUGUAGCGGUGAAAUGCUUAGAUAUGGCGAAGAACUCCGAUCGCGAAGGCAGCCUGCGGGAGCGCAACUGACGCUGAGGCUCGAAAGUGCGGGUAUCGAACAGGAUUAGAUACCCUGGUAGU